rnacentral:rRNA from 1 species
UGGGGAAUAUUGCACAAUGGAGGGAACUCUGAUGCAGCGACGCCGCGUGAACGAAGAAGGCUUUCGAGUCGUAAAGUUCUUUUAUAUGGGAAGAUAAUGACGGUACCAUAAGAAAAAGCCCCGGCUAACUACGUGCCAGCAGCCGCGGUAAUACGUAGGGGGCUAGCGUUGUCCGGAAUCACUGGGCGUAAAGGGUUCGCAGGCGGAAAUGCAAGUCAGGUGUAAAAGGCAGUAGCUUAACUACUGUAAGCAUUUGAAACUGCAUAUCUUGAGAAGAGUAGAGGUAAGUGGAAUUUUUGGUGUAGCGGUGAAAUGCGUAGAUAUGAAAAAGAAUACCGGUGGCGAAGGCGACUUACUGGGCUCAUUCUGACGCUGAGGAACGAAAGCGUGGGUAGCAAACAGG